rnacentral:piRNA from 1 species
AAUAAUAAUAAUAAUAAUAACAGCGUCAGUG